UGAAAGUAAUAAUAAAUACUUUUUGUUUGAAGUGAAUACAAAAUAUUCAGGUCCUUGCACGAUAAUAACAAAUAGCAGAACUACAAAGCCUGCAGCGGUUCAGCUGAAAAGCCUGCUCUAUGGCGCUACAGUCGCCACACGGAAGCGCCAUGAAAAUCUAACGGUAUUUGCGAGCUUGGAAGGAAGUAUAUGACUGAAAGCUUCAAAUAACAGGGUAGAGGUGUAUAUCGAGAGUUACAUCUUACGUCUUCGAGAUGGGGAAAAAUUCUUUGAAUUUUAAACAGCGAAGAACUCAUAUCUCGCAAAACUUUAAUAAUAUUCAGAAGUUUGGAAGUUUUCAAAGUUGGCAAUCUAGAAGAAAGUGACAAUGCGAAGCAAAUAUAAAAGUUCAGAUGAAUAUUAAAGUACCUGCUACUAACAAGCCGUGAAUAAAGAAUAUCAUACAUCGAAGAGGAUUUAUAUUUGAAUACGAAGCCACAUGAAGAUUGGAAUGCUUUUGAUUGAAUGAAGGUAGGGAAAAACCAUAUAAAGGACAAAAUAUAAUCCAGUCUGGCCAAUCAGCUGUUCCCGUAUUACGCAGACUUUCAGCGUAUUGCCGACCUUGGACUCUGUACACGUGAAUUCUCUGCUGUAGUACGCUAUAAGCUUCGCAGGUAUUAC